UCACCUGAUGAGUUAAACUCCCCUUUUUAUGUGAGGUUGAAGCAGAAAGUCUGAGUUAACAAAGAAAGUUGUUUAUAAUUUGCGAUACCUGUUAUCUCUGACUGAGGCUUUAGUUUUUGUUGAGCCAAUUUACACGUAGAAACUUUGUUCAGGAAGAUUUCUCAGUAGCUCAGAGGACAGGCUGCUUUUUACACAACCUUGUAAGAGAAUGUCUGCCAAUGCUUUCAGCAGAAUUUAGAAACACAACACUUCCUAAACAGAUAUUUUGAGGCUGUGAGGUUGAACGUUUGAGAGUAUAUCAGUGUGUGUGUUUGUGGUCUUUCUGUUUCUAGGUGGAAGCUGAAUUAGUGAGGAUGACUCCUGCUGCUGUCAUCUCUAAGCUCCUCACACAUCUUUACCUGCACAUGAGGAAAAUCACUCCUGUAGAAUGCAGAUGUUCAGAGGGAGAUGAUGCCACAUCUGGUCCAGCAGAUGGAAGGUCUUGAAGUUCUCUGACUGGCCUCGACUGAAGAUGGUCGUCUCACUGGAUUUAAGAUGCACAAUGAGGGACGUCUGCAGCAACUGAGAAAGAGUCUCACCACAUCCUGACAUGAGGAAAAAGACUUUAUUGAAGACUACAAUGAGAAAAACUAUCAGACAGCUGCAUUCAAGGUGAGAUCUGAACAUUUGAUCUGGAACAGGAAUUCAAUCACGGCAGCAUGAGCUUCAUUUCAGUCUGUAGCUGCUGAAUUCAUGGAUGAAUCAUCUGGCACUAGAGAGGAAGACCAUCAAACAUCCACGUCAGCUGAUGGAGGUCCAAGAGUCUCACCCAACAAACAACCUACAGAGUGAAGACCUUGAAUCUGAUUGGACGGCCUCCUAUUCAGCCACGUGUGAACAAAUGCCUCUAAGCUGAUUUGUUUUCUAAAAUAAAUCUAAUUUGAGUCCUAAUCUAUGCCUGUGUGUUUGCUUCUUUACACUGCUGUUAACAGUUUAGGCUGUUAGAUUGUUCCAGAUAAGACAAGUACAAGAUUCUUCAGAGCCGUUCUACCACGAGCCUGACAGGAAGAACUCCAACAGCUACUGAAUGUUCCUGUGGUUCCCUCAAGGCUACAGUAGGAGUCCUACGAGGACGAGCCAGUCCACCUGAUGGUGGCCAGUCGCUGCGGUUCAAAGCCAACACCAACUACAUGGACUUCUACUGGACCACACAGAGGCCUUCAAACCGGACCAACAAGUUCAGCGACUCCCCGACUCGUGGGUCUGAGGACGCCGCCGAGCCUCGGUCCAGCCGGCCACCUGUCUGUGGGUGUUUGAGUGCUGAGAGGUUUGUGGAUGGAUGUGAACGUGUCUGUGUUGAAACAGCAGCUUUGGACUCAGUAACGCUGGGAAAAACCAAGAGCUCCUUUAUUUGUGACUUCCACUAAAAAACUGAUGAAAAUAAGUUUGCCAGGGUUCUGACUGAUAACAGAUUAUUAAAUAAUGAAAAUAACAGCUCUUGGAGGUAGUCAUGACAGAAAUGAGCAAACUGAGAACUUGGUUUGACUUGAAUAAAUUAUCAUUAAAUAAAACUAAAUUUAUGCUGUUUGGAAAAAACAACAUCAAUACACAGGCAAAUGUAAUGAUAAACAAUGUUCACAUAGAAAGAGUGUAUGAGUAUAAAUUUUUGGGUGUUGUUCUAGAUCACAAAAUCUGCUGGAAACCCCAUAUUGAAUAUGUUAGAACAAAGGUAGCACGGAGUAUUGGUGUGAUGGGGAUGGCAAGGCACGUGUUGAAUGAGAGAGCUCUGUAUAUUUUGUAUAAUUCACUGGUGUUACCGUAUUUCAAUUAUUGUUUGGAAGUCUGGGGAAACACAUACAGGACCACCUUACAGCCCCUAACCAUAGUCCAGAAAAGAGCCAUACGGAUCAUUAGCAAUGUCGGUUAUUUUGACCAUACUAACACACUAUUUUCAAAAUUAAACACACUAAAAUUAAAAGACCUGGUUGACUUUAGAACGGCGAUGAUGAUGUAUAGAGCAAGAAACAAACUGCUACCUGUAAACCUACAGAGGUUGUUUCAGGACAGAGUAGAGGAAUAUCACUUCAGAGGGAUAUUGAAGUUUAAGCAGUGUUAUGCCAGGACCACUUUGACAAGUAUGUGCAUUUCGAUAUGUGGGGCUGUUUUGUGGAACAGUCUGGAUGAGGGAAUCAAACAAUGUAGGAACACAUACCAUUUGUACGUUUUAAAAAAAUGUACAAAAAAUAUAUCAUUGAAAAGUACAUAAAUGAGGAAAUAUGAUUUUUUUUUUCUUUUUCUCUCCACACUAAUUAAAGAAAAGAUGAAUGUCA